AGAAACUUAGGUUAACUCUAAACCGAGGGCCUUCAAAGCCCCAAACAGGAUAUUACAACUCCUAGUUUCUG
rnacentral:tRNA from 1 species